rnacentral:rRNA from 1 species
UUUAAAUUGAGAGUUUGAUCCUGGCUCAGGACGAACGCUGGCGGCGUGCUUAACACAUGCAAGUCGAGCGAUGAAGCUUCCUUCGGGAAGUGGAUUAGCGGCGGACGGGUGAGUAACACGUGGGCAACCUGCCUCAAAGAGGGGAAUAGCCCUCCGAAAGGAG